rnacentral:rRNA from 1 species
AGGGCGCACGGUGGAUGCCUUGGCACUAGGAGCCGAUGAAGGACGGGACUAACACCGAUAUGCUUCGGGGAGCUGUAAGUAAGCUUUGAUCCGGAGAUUUCCGAAUGGGGGAACCCAGCAUCUUUUAUAGGAUGUUACUUUUCAGUGAAUACAUAGCUGAUUAGAGGUAGACGCAGAGAACUGAAACAUCUAAGUACCUGCAGGAAGAGAAAGAAAAAUCGAUUCCCUGAGUAGCGGCGAGCGAAACGGGAAAAGCCCAAACCAAGAGGCUUGCCUCUUGGGGUUGUAGGACUCCGAUACGGUAGUCCAGUGAGAUAGUCGAAGGACCUGGAAAGGUCUGCUAGAAAGGGUAAAAGCCCCGUAGACAAAAUUUGACUGGCACCUAGGAGGAUCCUGAGUACGGCGGAACACGAGGAAUUCCGUCGGAAUCCGGGAGGACCAUCUCCCAAGGCUAAAUACUCCCUAGUGACCGAUAGUGAACCAGUACCGUGAGGGAAAGGUGAAAAGCACCCCGGAAGGGGAGUGAAAUAGAUCCUGAAACCGUGUGCCUACAACAAGUUAGAGCCCGUUAAUGGGUGAUAGCGUGCCUUUUGUAGAAUGAACCGGCGAGUUACGAUUACUUGCGAGGUUAAGUUGAAAAGACGGAGCCGCAGCGAAAGCGAGUCUGAAUAGGGCGAAUGAGUAAGUGGUCGUAGACCCGAAACCAUGUGAUCUACCCAUGUCCAGGUUGAAGGUGCGGUAAAACGCACUGGAGGACCGAACCCACGUACGUUGAAAAGUGCGGGGAUGAGGUGUGGGUAGCGGAGAAAUUCCAAACGAACUUGGAGAUAGCUGGUUCUCUCCGAAAUAGCUUUAGGGCUAGCCUCAGAGUAAGAAUGAUGGAGGUAGAGCACUGUUUGGACUAGGGGCCCAUCUCGGGUUACCGAAUUCAGAUAAACUCCGAAUGCCAUCCAUUCAUCUCUGGGAGUCAGACUGUGAGUGAUAAGAUCCAUAGUCGAAAGGGAAACAGCCCAGACCACCAGCUAAGGUCCCCAAAUAACUAUUAAGUGGAAAAGGAUGUGGGGUUGCACAGACAACUAGGAUGUUGGCUUAGAAGCAGCCACCAUUUAAAGAGUGCGUAAUAGCUCACUAGUCGAGUGACCCUGCGCCGAAAAUGUACCGGGGCUAAAUAGUUUACCGAAGCUGUGGAACACACCAAUAGGUGUGUUGGUAGGAGAGCGUUCUAAGGGCGUUGAAGGUAGAUCGUGAGGACUGCUGGAGCGCUUAGAAGUGAGAAUGCCGGUAUGAGUAGCGAAAGACAGGUGAGAAUCCUGUCCACCGAAUGACUAAGGUUUCCUGGGGAAGGCUCGUCCGCCCAGGGUUAGUCGGGACCUAAGCCGAGGCCGAAAGGCGUAGGCGAUGGAUAACAGGUUGAUAUUCCUGUACCCGUUGUUUUUGUUUGAGCAAUGGAGGGACGCAGGAGGCUAAGGAAUCAGACGAUUGGAAAUGUCUGUCCAAGCAAUAAGUCUUGAUGUGAGUCAAAUGCUUACGUCUUUAAGGACAAGUUGUGAUGGGGAGGGAAAUAAUAGUACCGAAGUUCCUGAUGUCACACUGCCGAGAAAAGCUUCUAGUGAGAAAACAAUGGCCCGUACCGCAAACCGACACAGGUAGUCGAGGAGAGAAUCCUAAGGUGAGCGAGAGAACUCUCGUUAAGGAACUCGGCAAAAUGACCCCGUAACUUCGGGAGAAGGGGUGCUGAUCUAACGAUCAGCCGCAGUGAAUAGGCCCAAGCGACUGUUUAUCAAAAACACAGGUCUCUGCAAAAUCGAAAGAUGACGUAUAGGGGCUGACGCCUGCCCGGUGCUGGAAGGUUAAGAGGAGUGCUUAGCGUAAGCGAAGGUACGAAUUGAAGCCCCAGUAAACGGCGGCCGUAACUAUAACGGUCCUAAGGUAGCGAAAUUCCUUGUCGGGUAAGUUCCGACCCGCACGAAAGGCGUAACGAUUUGGGCACUGUCUCAACGAGAGACUCGGUGAAAUUUUAGUACCUGUGAAGAUGCAGGUUACCCGCGACAGGACGGAAAGACCCCAUGGAGCUUUACUGCAGUUUGAUAUUGAGUGUUUGUACCACAUGUACAGGAUAGGUAGGAGCCGUAGAAGUCGGGACGCUAGUUUCGACAGAGGCGCUGGUGGGAUACUACCCUUGUGUUAUGACCACUCUAACCCGCACCACUGAUCGUGGUGGGAGACAGUGUCAGAUGGGCAGUUUGACUGGGGCGGUCGCCUCCUAAAGAGUAACGGAGGCGCCCAAAGGUUCCCUCAGAAUGGUUGGAAAUCAUUCGCAGAGUGUAAAGGCACAAGGGAGCUUGACUGCGAGACCUACAAGUCGAGCAGGGACGAAAGUCGGGCUUAGUGAUCCGGUGGUUCCGCAUGGAAGGGCCAUCGCUCAACGGAUAAAAGCUACCCUGGGGAUAACAGGCUUAUCUCCCCCAAGAGUCCACAUCGACGGGGAGGUUUGGCACCUCGAUGUCGGCUCAUCGCAUCCUGGGGCUGUAGUCGGUCCCAAGGGUUGGGCUGUUCGCCCAUUAAAGCGGCACGCGAGCUGGGUUCAGAACGUCGUGAGACAGUUCGGUCCCUAUCCGUCGCGGGCGUUGGAAAUUUGAGAGGAUCUGUCCUUAGUACGAGAGGACCGGGAUGGACUUACCGCUGGUGUACCAGUUGUCUCGCCAGAGGCAUCGCUGGGUAGCUAUGUAGGGAAGGGAUAAACGCUGAAAGCAUCUAAGUGUGAAGCCCACCUCAAGAUGAGAUUUCCCAUUUCU